AUUCUUCUUUCUCCCAGCGACAGGCCUCGGCUGGGAGCUGCGAGGCCCAGCUGUCUCGGAGGGCCGCUAGCUCUGCUGGGGCAGGCCAGGAGGAUGUAGGAGCCUAGAGAAGGGGCCUCCGCUUCCCUGCGCGAGGCCCCCACAGACCCAAACCAGCUGCAGCCGGGAACUCGGAUCAGAGCUGGAGAGGCCCUGUGGACCCCCAGGACACUGGUGGUCGCCUUGGGGAGGGGAGGGAGGCGGGCCGGGUUUUGUCCCUCUCUCUGAGGCCUGCAUUGAGGCCAGGCUGGGCCCGGGGAAGGUGACGGUCCGCGUCUCAGGCCUCGCGAAUGAGCAGCACCAGAGAAAGGAGCGAGCCCCUGCCAGGCGGUGACAGGUGUACUCUUCUCAGUGCCGAUUACCUGGAGCUGGGGCUGCCCUGCCCAGGGUCCUGGAGGGAGCACGGGUUUGGGCUGAGUCAAGCGUCCAAAGGAAUUGGGUGGUCCAGUCCAGCACUGAUGGUGGAACGCCCUGCCUAGAUGUGGACAAUUCUAGAAUGCUGGACAUGGGCAGGAAGCAACCCUGUCCCCCCUAGGUCUACCUUCCACGUCAUCCCUCUGCCCAGGAAGCAGUGACCGGAGUGGAGCCACGUGCCCACGUGAACCCAGUGAACAAGAGGCAGCGCUAGCCCAGCUCCAACUCUAGUCAUCAUGUUUGUGGGGAGAGGUCUAGGCACGUCUGCAAAGUGGGGGGCACUCACCCCUGGGUGCAAAACAAUUACGUGGGGUGGGAAGAAAAUACUAGAUUUUUUUUUUCUUUUUUUAGAUUCGGUCUCGCUCUGUUGCCUAGGCUGGAGUGCAGUGGCGGGAUCUCGGCUCACCGCAGUCUCCACCUCCCAGGUUCAAGCAAUUCUCCCACCUUAGCCUCCCGAGUAGCUGAUAUUACAGGCGUGCACCACCAUGACC
rnacentral:lncRNA from 1 species